rnacentral:rRNA from 1 species
CCUGCUUCCGGGUUGCGCGACUUGGUCUGGGUUCCCGGGGGUAGGCAUCAUGACAUGCAAUCCCUGGCCGCAACACGUGGCGGUGUGGGCCCUGUAAGCCAUGCUGUUACCCCUUCUCCACCGAGCACGUUUCUCCAGAAGAAUGACUGUUCUAUGGCAUGCCUACCCCCCCUUUCACCACAUCAGUGGUGGUGCAUGGAAAAGCCCCUCCUUCCUUAAGUGGGGUCUGGGCCUCUUCCUCCCACCCCACCGUGGUUGAGCAGGCUGGGCCAACGGUGCCUGGGUGACUGACCUGUUCACCCAACCUACAUGCAUUUUUCGUGCAGAUGUUCCAGAGAGUGCAAAGGUCAGCCUGAGGCAGACGUGCAGCUCCUUCUGAUGCCACCCUCCAGCAGGUGCAUAUGCGUGUCUCAAAGAUUAAGCCUUGCACUUGUAAGAUUACGGAUGGUUAGCGUGAGAAACGGCUACCGCAUCCAAGGAAGGCAGCAGGCGUGCAAAUUACCAGUGACGAAAAAAAAAGAACAAUACAGGAGGCUUUCGAGGCUGUGUAAUUAGUAUGAGUACACUUUAAAUACUUUAAUGAGGAUCCUUUGGAGGGAAAUGUCUGGUGCCAGCAGCUGCAGUAAUUCCAGCUCUAAUUCCAUAUAUUAAAGUUGCAGCAGUGAAAAACCUCAUAGUUGGAUUUGGGAUCGAGCUGGCUGUCCCAGCUCCUGCCUCUCGGUGCCCCCUUGAUGCUCUUGCCUAAGUGUCCUUGGAGUCCGAAGUGUUUCCUUUAAAAAAAUGAGUGUGUUAAAAGUCAGUUUACCUGAAUACCUCAGCUAGGAAUAAUGGAAUUUGACUCAGAACAGGGGUCAUGAUUAAAAGGGGACUGCCAGAGGCAUUUCUAUUGUGUCGCUAGAGGUCAAAUUCUUGGACCGGCGCAAGACAAACCAAAGCGAAAACAUUUGCCAAGAAUAUUUUUAUUAAUCAAUGAAAGUCAGCAGUUCACAGAUGAUCAGAUACUAUCAUCAUUUUGAGCAUCAACUAUGCCGACUAAAAAUCCGGUGGCGUUAUUCCUGUGACCCGCUAAUCAGCUUCCAAGAAGCUUUCAGGAAACCAAAGUCUUUGGGUUCCGGAGGGUGUACGGUUGCAAAGCUGAAACUUAAAGGAAUUGAUAGAAGGGCCCCACCAGGAGUUGAUCCUGUGGCUUAAUUUGACUCAACAUGAGAAACCUCACAUUGCACUGAAAGAAUUGACAGAUUGAUAGCUCUUUCUCAAUUCUGUUGGUGGUGGUGCAUGGCUGUUUUUAGUUGGUGGUGCAAUUUACCUGGUUAAUUCCGAUAACAAAGAUACUUAUUAUUAUUAUUAUUUUAUUAUUAUUAUUAUACUCCUCCAUGCUAACUAGUUAUGUGACCCCCAGAGGUCAUUGUUCAACUUCUUAGUGGCACAAGUGGCGUUCAGUCACAUGAGAUCAAGCAAUAAUAGGUCUGUGUUGACCUUAGAUGAUCGGGGCAGCACGCGUGCUACCCUGAAUGGAUCAGCAUGUGUCUAACCUUCGCUGACAGGUGCAGGUAACCCGCUGUACCUUGUUCGUGAUAGGAAUUGGGGAUUGCAAUUAUUUCGCAUUAACAAGAAAUUCUCAGUAAAUGCGGGUCAUAAGCUUGCAUUGAUUAAGUCCCUGCCAUUUGUACACAUUGCCCGUCACUAUUACCGAUUGGAUGGUUUAAGUGUGGUCCUCGAAUCAAAUCCAGCAUCAGCACGGCCCAGACGGAGCGCUGAGAAGACAAUGAAACUUGACUAUCUAGAGGAAGUAAAAGUCGUAACAGGUUUUCCGUAGGUGAACCAGCAGAAG